rnacentral:rRNA from 1 species
UGCUCCCCGGGUGACGAGCGGCGGACGGGUGAGUAAUGUCUGGGAAACUGCCUGAUGGAGGGGGAUAACUACUGGAAACGGUAGCUAAUACCGCAUAACGUCGCAAGACCAAAGAGGGGGACCUUCGGGCCUCUUGCCAUCAGAUGUGCCCAGAUGGGAUUAGCUAGUAGGUGGGGUAAUGGCUCACCUAGGCGACGAUCCCUAGCUGGUCUGAGAGGAUGACCAGCCACACUGGAACUGAGACACGGUCCAGACUCCUACGGGAGGCAGCAGUGGGGAAUAUUGCACAAUGGGCGCAAGCCUGAUGCAGCCAUGCCGCGUGUGUGAAGAAGGCCUUCGGGUUGUAAAGCACUUUCAGCGAGGAGGAAGGUGGUGAGCUUAAUACGCUCAUCAAUUGACGUUACUCGCAGAAGAAGCACCGGCUAACUCCGUGCCAGCAGCCGCGGUAAUA